GACGAACGCUGGCGGCGUGCCUAAUACAUGCAAGUUGAGCGCUGAAGGUUGGUACUUGUACCGACUGGAUGAGCAGCGAACGGGUGAGUAACGCGUGGGGAAUCUGCCUUUGAGCGGGGGACAACAUCUGGAAACGAAUGCUAAUACCGCAUAAAAACUUUAAACACAAGUUUUAAGUUUGAAAGAUGCAAUUGCAUCACUCAAAGAUGAUCCCGCGUUGUAUUAGCUAGUUGGUGAGGUAAAGGCUCACCAAGGCGAUGAUACAUAGCCGACCUGAGAGGGGGGACCGGCAAAAUGGGACUGGGAAACGGGCCAAGAUUCUUACGGAAGCAGCAGGAGGGGAACUUUGGGAAUGGAAGGAAGGCUGAACGGGCAAAGCCGGGUGGAGGAAGGAGGGUUUCGGAUCGUAAAACUCUGUUGGUAGAGAAGAAAGAUGGUGGGAGUGGAAAGCUCAUAAAGUGACGGUAACUACUCAGAAAGCGACGGCUAACUACGUG
rnacentral:rRNA from 1 species